UGAGGAAUAUUGGUCAAUGGGCGCAAGCCUGAACCAGCCAUCCCGCGUGAAGGAUGAAGGCCCUAUGGGUCGUAAACUUCUUUUAUACACCAAGAAAAAGCAGGACGAGUCCUGUCCCGACGGUAGUGUAUGAAUAAGCAUCGGCUAACUCCGUGCCAGCAGCCGCGGUAAUACGGAGGAUGCGAGCGUUAUCCGGAUUCAUUGGGUUUAAAGGGUGCGUAGGCGGCUUUUUAAGUCAGUGGUGAAAUCUUGCCGCUUAACGGUAAAAUUGCCAUUGAUACUGAUAAGCUUGAGUACAAUUGAGGUAAGCGGAAUGUGUAGUGUAGCGGUGAAAUGCUUAGAUAUCGUCAAGAACACCGAUAGCGAAGGCAGCUUACUAAGCAGUAACUGACGCUGAGGCACGAAAGUGUGGGGAUCAAACA
rnacentral:rRNA from 1 species